GCAGAAGCCGUUUUUUAAAGAUAUGCUAGUAAUAGGAAGAAUGGACAAUGUAACAAUUGCUGGUGAAGGGAGUAGAUAAGAGUUACUAGGACCAUUUUCCUACUAGAGAAAGUGAAGCAGAGAAGCCCUUUAAAAGGAUCAGUUUCACAAUCAAUGCUAGAUCUCAGUUCACAGAUCCUUAUCUUUUAUUCUGUAGCAACUAGAUAUUUCUUUGGGUUAAUCAGUUUUAAAUCAAAUACCUAAGGUAAUUUAACUUUAAAUGCCAAAGGUUAAAUUUUCUUAAAUGUUAAAUUGGAAUUAUUCCACACAUCUAACAUAACCCAAAAGAAAAACAAAAGUUAUAAAAUGAGAUAUUCUCUUGGUCAACAAGUAUUUGCCCGGGCUCUGUGCUUGGUGGUAAAAAUGCAGAGAUGAACAAGACAGAUCUCCUGGCCCGAGAGUACUUAUACACAAAGAGUAAUUAGCAUGAACAGCACUGGACUUAAGGUCAGACUUAGCAGCUGUGUUUUCUUAGGCAAAUUAGGAAUCAGUUUAGGAUGGUGAUUAAGAAGUGGGCUCUUAGGCCAGGCAUGGUGGCUCAGACCUAUAAUCUCAGUACUUUGGGAGGUCAAAGGCAAGGAGGAUCACUUGAACCUUGAGCCCAGGAAGUCAAGGCUGCAGUGAACCAUGAUCAUGCCAUUGCACUCCAGCCUGGCAGCAGAGCAAGACCCUGUCACUAAAAAAAAGGGCUCUGGAGCCAGAUGUUUUAUAUUUGAAACCUGACUUUUUUUCAUGCCCUUGGAAAAGUGGCGGGGACUUUGUGGAAGGGACUUACUGGCCCUGUGCCUCAGAUUUUUAUCCAUAAUGUAACAUACAUUUGCUGUAUUAUUUAAGAAUUUUCAAUUCUGCCCUAAAGAAUAGGAGAAACAAAUGGGAUAGAUGAAACUUACCUGUAAGUAUAUGUUACAUCAACUCAUAUGUUAAGUACAGAUAAUAAGUACAUCAUUAACACAUGAAACAUGUUAAACAUAGAAUAAAUAGACAUUUACUUCUUAAACAUAUGUUAAAAGGACAAAACAAACAAGAGUGUUACUUGUAGAUAGAGAUGGAAAGCAAAAUAAACCUUAAAUAUUCAUAAAGCAUGAAUCAGUCUGGUCUACCUCAAAUUGACCACCCAUUGGUAUCAUUCAUUCUAACCCAUUUGUUUUGUGCUUAAAAUGUAUAUUGCUGCUCAUAAGGUCAUUGCUGAGCUAUAGGUGUAGCCACACAUACCUGCCUCUGUCUUUUUAUUAUUUUUAUUGUUUGGGGAUAGGAUCUUGCUCUGUCACCCAGGCUGGAGUGCAGUGGCACGAUCAUGGCUCAUUGCCUGCUCACUGCAGCCUCAACCUCUGGGGCUCAGGUGAUCCCCCCACCUCAUCCUCCUGGGUAGCUGGGACUACAGGCAUGCACCAUUAUGCCCGGCUAAUUUUUUUUUAAUUUUUUUGUAGAGACGUGAUCUCACCAUGUUGCCCAGGCUGUUCUUGAACUCCUGGGCUCAAGCACUCUGCCUGCUUCAAUUUUCCUAAGUGUUUGAAUUAUAGUUGUGAGCCCCAGCACCCAGCAACCUCAGUCUUUUUGAUAGAGCAAGCGUAGAUUGGCAUCCUGAACCUUCCAUCUCUGAACAUUCUUACCUACACUCUGGUUCUUGUAACCAUGCCAUCUUUGGAGAAGGCAGAAGAGGCAGAACAUAUGAACACUGAGUGACCCACAGUAGUGUGGUCCUUUCACCUGCCUGAUCUAAAUGUGUUCACCUACCCAAUCUCUUUCCCCUUGCUUCCUGCUUUUUUCUAAAACAAUUCAGUCUCCAUAGUGACUGUCAAAAAUUGCCAAUGCUGACUAUCUAGCAAGUUGUCAUGGCAGGGUAUUGGAAAAAGUUUUCAAUUAGCAAUAAUCAAUAAUGUAGGAUAAACCUCAUUGGCUACCAUAUUUCCACUGUACAAAGCUAAGACUGUGUGUUUUAAAUUGGUUUAACAAACUAACCUAUUUGACCAUCUUAAUCUGGCCUAUGAGCCAGAUUAUAAUGACAGUGAUAAUGAUAGUGAAUAUUUUAUGGGAUGAUUGUGGAGAGCACAUCAAUUUAAUUCAACUAAGUCACAAUUACACUGUCUUUCAAAGAACAUAGAAACACAUUGGGUGGGAAUCAGUACUGUGUGCAACCAGGUAGCUCCUCUAUUUUCAGUCAGACUGAAACAGGAAUUAAAAGAAAUUAAAGAAUGUGUAAGCAAAAACUCAAUUGUAUGUAAGAAAACCCAAUUCCCCCUGAAGAAGAGAAAGAACAGGAGUCCUUUAAAAUUAACUGCCUAUUUUUCUGUGGCUAGUGACCUUGUCUCUCCCUUUCCCAGGCAUUGUGAAGACUGUUUCUCUAGCUGUGCAGCUGCAAGGUCACUAGACAGAUAAUCUCAAGUCAUAAAACAUGUUGUUCCUUGAAAAGUAAGAAAUAAUGUAAUGCAUGUCUCAACUGAAUAACUGUCUUUGUUUCUCGCUUCUGUAAUCUGCUUUCCCCUGCACAGAUCUCCCCCGUCCCACAAAAUGCUUAAAAGGUAGCUUGACUCUUUGUUCGAGGCUCAGUCCUUUGGAUGUUAAUCUGACGGGGUUGGUGCACCUAAAUAAUUAAAUAAUUCCUCCU